AUGUCCCCCAAGGAGGCCAGAGAUGUGAUUGUGAGGACUGGCCGCCACACCUCGGAGGAGAAGCCCAGGGGUGACCACUCCCUGGGAGACACGCUGGGCCCAACAUGGGCGAGACCGGCAGCUGGGGGAGGGGUGCCCAUGACUUGGGGACACGGCGGAGGCCAAUCCCAGGCACCACAAGAGGCCCCACAGCCCUGGACGGGCUAUGCCGGAACCUCAGUCUCCCCACCAAUUAACUACUGGGCAGGACAGACCCUCCCGCGCAUCCGGAGCGUCCCGGCGAAGGUCAGGAAGAUAAACGCAACACGCCUCUUCGCAGGGUCAAACCGCGCGUCCUGCCCCUGGUGACCAAACCCAGCCGUGCCCCCGGAUUGUCUGCUUACUCUUCCUGGCCCUUUAGAAACACGUGAACUGGAGUUCCCGUCGUGGCGCAGUGGUUAACGAAUCCGACUAGGAACCAUGAGGUUGCAGGUUCAGUCCCUGCCCUUGCUCAGUGGGUUAACGAUCCGGCGUUGCCGUGAGCUGUGGUGUAGGUUGCAGACGCGGCUCGGAUCCUGUGUUGCUGUGGCUCUGGCGUAGGCCGGUGGCUACAGCUCCGAUUCGCUAGCCUGGGAACCUCCAUAUGCCGUGGGAAGCGGCCCUUGAAAAGGCCAAAGGACAAAAAAUAAAUAAACAAAUUAGAAACACGUGAACUGCUCUCUUCAUUUGCUUCAAGUUCAUCCCUAUUCCACCCACAGGGUGUUGAGAGCCCCCAGAUCCUCAGGAUCUGAGACAGGAGUCUUUGCCAAACAUAGCAAUUAGGAUGAAAGUUGACCACAGGGAAUUUUCCUAUCAUGUAAAAGAAGUCCAAGGAUAUGCAGGCCAAGGCUCCAAGGAGCCAGCAGAAUCCCAGCCUCCUGCCAGCUUACUGAUUCACCACCCCCUGGGUGUGGCUCGCAUCCUCAUAGCCUAAGGUGGCUGCAGGAGUUCCAGCUCUCACAUCCCGGUUCCAAGUAGCCAGGUUAGAGGAAGGGAGGAAGGGAGUUGUGCCUGCUGCCUUUAAAGGACACUUCUCAGGAGACCACUCUACUUAGUAGGAGAUAAUGGCAGUAGUGACCCCCACUUGGUUCAUCCUUCCCUAUAUGCAUGACAAUUUGACUUUGUCACUCCUCCCAUCAAGAGAGGAAGUCUAUUUCGCCACUUUUUAUUUAUUUAUUUAUUUAUUUAUUUUUUUUUGGCCGCACCUGCAGCAUCUGGAAGUUCCCAGGCCAGGCAGGGAUGGAAUCCAAGCCUCAGCUGCAACCUACACCACAGCUGCAGGAACACCAGACCCUUAACCCACUGUACCACUAUGCAAACUCCUCUUUCUCCAGUCUUGAACUUGCUCUGUCUGAAAGGGCAAGGGCAAAAAUGCAAGCAGAGGCUUAAAAAUACUCGUGCCCCUGGCUUGUUCCCUUGGUGCUGGAAACUCUCUGCCACCUUGAACAGGCCCAGGACAGCCUUCUGGGUGGGGAGGGCGCUUGGACAGAAGCNNNNNNNNNNNNCAUUCUUGCCACUGCAGCUGACACCUCUAACAUGGGAGCAGGCCAUCCUAGUUCCCCCAGGACCAGCCAGGCCAGCCCAGGUCAGAAAAGGGGCCCAGCCAACCCACAGAAUCAUGAGAAAUAAUAAAUCCUUGCUUUCUUAAGUUUUGG
rnacentral:lncRNA from 1 species